AUAAAGGACGCAUACAAUGAUACAGAUUUUGAUGUAGUAGAUGAAGAAACCGGAUUUAUUACGAGGUCCACAAUUGCUGUGCCAAUAAAGUUUAAUAAUAGGCUAUUAGGCAAGUACAAUGAUAAAUUGUUAAAUAUAUUGUAACAUAUUUUUUUAGGUGUCGUUCAUGUUCUGAAUAAAGAGAAUAACCAAAUAUUUACUCGUGCAGAUGUAAAUGCGUUAGAAACCUUAGCUAUUUUUUGUGCAGUUGUUUUACGUUUGAAUACGAUGCAUAUUGAUAUUAAACACAACGUAAUAAAUUAAGAGUUGCUUAAAUUACUACAAUAUAAAAGACAGACUUUAUAAAAUAUGAUGUUUAGUGUUUUACAUAUAUUGUAGUUCAUUAAGCAAUUGAUUUGAUACAUUGAAAAACUCUAAUUCAAAUAAAUUAAAUUACAGGAUCAGUUUAAAAUAUGUUAUACAAAUCUACUUUUAAUGCUUCUUGCUCCCAAACCCAAUCAAUUAAGGGAAAUGAGAAUUUUGCCCAUUUUAAAAUUUCCUAUAAAAUGGAAAGAUUUUUAUAUACAUGUUAAAUAUCCCGUAUUCCAUGUUCCAUACAUGGUGAGGAUGAUUCAAGCACUGUUAGGCCUUAAAACAAUUGAUGAAAAUAUUAUAACGACCUAUGUGGUUUUAAAUAAAAAUAUGCAUGUUGAUGCGCCGUUUAGUCACUUUGGUCAAACUUUUGACACGUUUCAUGCCAUGUUCUUGAUUAUGUCUCGAAAUAUUGAUUAUUUUCAAACGGUGGAGAGAUAUGCCCUCAUAAUUGCACAACUUUCACGGAAUUUAGAAGGUACAAAUGUUAUCAGUUACUGUGUUCUUAAAAAAAAUAUUAUUGAGAAAAUUUAUGAAGAAACUCCCACGCAAAACUUUGUUUGUCAUUUAGCUUCUUUACUAUUAGGGGCAAGUCCAUAUUACAACAGAUGGUACUAAAAUUAACAAUUGUUUUGUAGGAAUGUCCUUUUCUAGGACAUCUUAGUUCAGAUCUUUUCAGGAAAAUAUGGUCAUUAGUUAAAUUUCUAAUAAGUAUGGAUAAACUGGGAUUUGAAAAAGUAAAAACUGAAUUAACUAGUAAUUUAAAGGAAAUAAAUUGGAAAUCUCCCGAAGUACGAUCAAAAGUUUGUGCUCUUGUAUAUAUUUCAGCACAAUAUCACAUAUUUUGGAAACCUUUUAAACAAGCACAAGAUAUACUACACAAAUUUCAAGAUGAAAUGUACAGUGAGGGAGAUUACUUUAAAUCAUUAGGUAUGCAACCUGAUGCGUUUUACGAUAGAACUAAGCGACUAACCGCGUCUUUGAACCAUCAAAUAUUUAUGCAACAAUACUGCUUACCAUGUAUGGCAUUGUUGGAGAAAAUAUUUCCAAACACAGGAGAUUUGUUGUAUAAAUGCCAAGAAUUUUAUGAAAAUCUUGAAAGAAAAAAUGAAUUUUUUAUAAAUAAAAGUGAAGGAGUAAAAAUGUGGUCACAGUAUGAAUCAAUAGCAUAUAAAUAAAUUUAUUUGAG